rnacentral:rRNA from 1 species
CCUACGGGAGGCAGCAGUAGGGAAUCUUCCGCAAUGGACGAAAGUCUGACGGAGCAACGCCGCGUGAACGAUGAAGGCCUUCGGGUCGUAAAGUUCUGUUGUUAGGGAAGAACAAGUGCUAGUUGAAUAAGCUGGCACCUUGACGGUACCUAACCAGAAAGCCACGGCUAACUACGUGCCAGCAGCCGCGGUAAUACGUAGGUGGCAAGCGUUGUCCGGAAUUAUUGGGCGUAAAGCGCGCGCAGGCGGUUUCUUAAGUCUGAUGUGAAAGCCCCCGGCUCAACCGGGGAGGGUCAUUGGAAACUGGGAAACUUGAGUGCAGAAGAGGAAAGUGGAAUUCCAAGUGUAGCGGUGAAAUGCGUAGAGAUUUGGAGGAACACCAGUGGCGAAGGCGACUUUCUGGUCUGUAACUGACGCUGAGGCGCGAAAGCGUGGGGAGCAAACAGGAUUAGAUACCCUGGUAGUCCCACGCUGUAACGAUAGAGUGCUAGUAGUUAGUAGGGUUUCCGGUCCCGUUUACGUUGUCGUGUAAGUUAACGUACUAUUAAGUACACUCCGCCGUCGGGGAGGUACGGUCGGCGAAGACGUAGAACGUUAAAAUUAGUAAGUUAGUACGGCGUGAGACGUGCCGACGGACGACGACCGAGGGAGGUUAGG